rnacentral:rRNA from 1 species
GCCUCUUGAUUAAACCAUAAGAGGUCCAGCCUGCCCAGUGACAUUGUUCAACGGCCGCGGUAUCCUAACCGUGCGAAGGUAGCGUAAUCACUUGUCCUUUAAAUGAAGACUAGUAUGAAUGGCCCCACGAAAGCUAUACUGUCUCCUUUUUCUAAUCAGUUAAACUAAUCUCCCCGUGAAGAAGCGGGGAUAAACAUAUAAGACGAGAAGACCCUAUGGAGCUUUAAACAACUGAAACAUUUGUAUACCUCCCUUCACCUACCCACAUUUAACUCCACAUCUUGUUUCUAGUUUUAGGUUGGGGUGACCACGGAGAAAAAACUAACCUCCACGAUGAAAGAGACAUCUCUAAACAAAAAGCUACAUCUUUAUGUAUUAAUACAUUAACCUUUAUUGACCCAAUAAAUUGAUCAACGAACCAAG